GACGAACGCUGGCGGCGUGCUUAACACAUGCAAGUCGAGCGGUAAGGCCCUUUCGGGGUACGACGAGCGGCGAACGGGUGAGUAACACGUGGGUGACCUGCCCUCAGCUCUGGGAUAAGCCUGGGAAACCGAGUCUAAUACUGGAUAUGACUCCAUGACGCAUGUUGUGGGGUGGAAAGCCUUGUGCGGCUGAGGAUGGGCCCGCGGCCUAUCAGCUUGUUGGUGGGGUGAUGGCCUACCAAGGCGACGACGGGUAGCCGGCCUGAGAGGGC
rnacentral:rRNA from 1 species